GGUGCUGGGGCUCAGUGGUAGAGCACUUGCCUAGCAUGUGUGAGGCAUUGGGUUUGAGUCUUAGCACCA
rnacentral:tRNA from 1 species